UCUGACAGCGGGGUAACACAAACAGAUCAGCCCUGUCAACUAAAUAAACUGAAGAAAAAAGAGAAAAUUUUUAUUUUCGGUUUCAAGCAUUUUUGUAAAUAAAUAAUUUUUGUUAUUGCGGUAACGCAUUUCUCGUGUCGAAUGAGAAUGGCAAACACUGGCUCCCCUUGAAGGAUCGUCGAAUGGAUAACUGUUGCGAUGGGUAUCCUGAUUUCCUGCUAUCAGUCAUGCUGUAGACCUAAGAUUGCAAAUGGAGAAUCCAUCAACCCGUAUGCAUCGGAAUACAGACGGAGGUCAGAACAGGAUGUGAUGAGAGAAAGGCAAAUCCGAGAUGAAGUCUGUGGUCUACUUGUGCCUUCCUCAUCAAGGUGCAGUAAUUCUAGAAAAGCAGAUAUUAUAAAAAAGCCACAGAAAGGAAUGAUGUUUUAUUCAUGCACUACCUAUGAAUUUGUGAAAUAAUUUUCGAUGAUGCUCAACAAUCACUUGGCUCAACUUUGUUUUUAAAUUCUUGACACAUUUGAUGAUUCUUGAUGUC